rnacentral:rRNA from 1 species
GACGAACGCUGGCGGCGUGCCUAAUACAUGCAAGUAGAACGCAGUUGCGAACGGGGGAGUAAAGCGUAGGUAACUGCCCCAUAGCGGGGGAUAACUAUUGGAAACGAUAGCUAAUACCGCAUACUGUGAGAUGGACCUGAGUUGUAUUAGCUAGUUGGUGAGGUAAAGGCUCACCAAGGCGACGAUACAUAGCCGACCUGAGGGGGGGAUCGGCCAAAGUGGGACUGGGACACGGCCCAAACUCUUACGGGAGGAGGAAGUAGGGAAUCUUCGGCAAUGGCGGAAAGUCUGACCGGGCAACGCCGCGUGAGUAAAAAGGGUUUUCGGAUCGUAAAACUCUUUUGUUGGAGAGGCGGUAUCUAACCAGAAAGCCACGGCUAACUACGUGCCAGCAGCCGCGGUAAUAC